GGAGAGCUGGCUGAGUGGUCGAAAGCACUUCCCUGCUAAGGAAGCAUACGGGGUCAACCUGUAUCGAGGGUUCGAAUCCCUCGCUCUCCGCCA
rnacentral:tRNA from 1 species